AUGAGGGAUAUUGCACAAUGGGGGAAACCCUGAUGCAGCGACGCCGCGUGGGUGACGAAGUCCUUCGGGAUGUAAAGCCCUUUUCUCGGGGAAGAGAACGGACGGUACCCGAGGAAGAAGCCCCGGCUAACUACGUGCCAGCAGCCGCGGUAAUACGUAGGGGGCAAGCGUUGUCCGGAAUUACUGGGCGUAAAGCGCAUGUAGGCGGAGGGGUGUGUCGAACGUGAAAGGCUGCGGCUCAACCGCAGAGCGCCGUUCGAAACUGCCUUUCUUGAGGGCCGAAGAGGAGAGUGGAAUUCCCGGUGUAGCGGUGAAAUGCGUAGAGAUCGGGAGGAACACCCAUGGCGAAGGCAGCUCUCUGGUCGGUCUCUGACGCUGAGAUGCGAAAGCGUGGGGAGCGAACGG
rnacentral:rRNA from 1 species